rnacentral:miRNA from 1 species
UCCAAGAACAGAUGACAUCAGC